rnacentral:rRNA from 1 species
ACGGCUGCUCAGUAACACGUAGUCAACUUACCCUAUGGACGAGGAUAAUCUCGGGAAACUGAGCAUAAUACUCGAUAGAUCAUAAUGCCUGGAAUGGUUUAUGGUUGAAAUGAUUCAUCGCCACAGGAUGGGACUGCGGCCUAUCAGCUUGUUGGUGAGGUAAUGGCCCACCAAGGCGAUUACAGGUACGGGCUCUGAGAGGAGAAGCCCGGAGAUGGGUACUGAGACAAGGACCCAGGCCCUAUGGGGCGCAGCAGGCGAGAAAACUUUGCAAUGUGCGAAAGCACGACAAGGUUAAUCCGAGUGAUUUCUGCUAAAGAAAUCUUUUGCAAGUCAUAAAACCACUAGUGAAUAAGGGGUGGGCAAGUUCUGGUGUCAGCCGCCGCGGUAAAACCAGCACCUCAAGUGGUCAGGAGGAUUAUUGGGCCUAAAGCAUCCGUAGCCGGCUCUGUAAGUUUUCGGUUAAAUCCAUGUGCUCAACGCAUGGGCUGCCGAAAAUACUGCAUAGCUAGGGAGUGGGAGAGGUAGACGGUACUCGGUAGGAAGGGGUAAAAUCCUUUGAUCUAUCGAUGACCACCUGUGGCGAAGGCGGUCUACCAGAACACGUUCGACGGUGAGGGAUGAAAGCUGGGGGAGCAAACCGGAUUAGAUACCCGGGUAGUCCCAGCUGUAAACGAUGCAGACUCGAUGAUGCAUUGGCAUAUAGCCAGUGCAGUGUCGCAGGGAAGCCGUUAAGUCUGCCGCCUGGGAAGUACGUACGCAAGUAUGAAACUUAAAGGAAUUGGCGGGGGAGCAG